UACGGAGGGGGCUAGCGUUGUUCGGAAUUACUGGGCGUAAAGCGCGCGUAGGCGGACCUGCAAGUCGGGGUGAAAGCCCGAGGCUCAACCUCGGAACUGCCUUCGAUACUGCGGGUCUCGAGUCCGGGAGAGGUGAGUGGAAUUCCUAGUGUAGAGGUGAAAUUCGUAGAUAUUAGGAAGAACACCAGUGGCGAAGGCGGCUCACUGGCCCGGUACUGACGCUGAGGCGCGAAAGCGUGGGAGC
rnacentral:rRNA from 1 species